rnacentral:RNase_P_RNA from 1 species
GGCGGUCUGUCGCUUGCGUCCUCCUCAUAGCGACGUAAGAGGAAAGUCCGGGCAGCAUAGGGCACUCCGCUUCCUAACGGGAAGGGGCUCGCAAGGGUCGGUCGGUGCAGAAGAAAACAACCGCCGCUCUCCCCAUGGUGGAGCGGUAAGGGUGAGAAGGUGGGGUAAGAGCCCACCAGCCGAGCGGUGACGCAUCGGGCUGUGCACCCCGGAGGCUGAAAGUUCGCGUAAACCAGCGCACAUAGAGGGCGGCCCGCCCCAGUCCGCAAGGCGCGUUGGAGGGUAGAACGAUAGAGACGUGUGGCGACACACGCCGUAGAUAAAUGACAGACACCGCUGCGCCAUAGCGCUCCGCGCAGACCAGCGGCACAAAACCCGGCUUACAGCCCCG